rnacentral:rRNA from 1 species
AACGGCGUCGAGCGGCGGACGGGUGAGUAAUGCCUAGGAAAUUGCCCUGAUGUGGGGGAUAACCAUUGGAAACGAUGGCUAAUACCGCAUGAUGCCUACGGGCCAAAGAGGGGGACCUUCGGGCCUCGUCGCGUCAGGAUAUGCCUAGGUGGGAUUAGCUAGUUGGUGAGGUAAGGGCUCACCAAGGCGACGAUCCCUAGCUGGUCUGAGAGGAUGAUCAGCCACACUGGAACUGAGACACGGUCCAGACUCC